UGUGUAGGCCAACCUCAUCUC
rnacentral:piRNA from 1 species